rnacentral:tRNA from 1 species
GGGGUUGUAGCUCAAUGGUAGAGCGCUUGCCUCGAGUUCGUGAGGCCCUGGGUUCAGUCCCCCCACCCCA